AUUUUUUUUAUUUACUUAGUUUUUAAAAGUGGUGACCCGAAGUUCUGCAUGCUGAUUGGUCGAUUUUCUACUGCCAUCCCUUACACAAACACAUACACACACAGAUUUUUGUUCCGUCUUUCUGUCUCUGAGAGUAGUAUUUUUGCAGUGCCCCUUUGUAGUCUAUGUUGUUAACAUGUGAGUGUAUGCCCUCCUUUCCAUUAUAGAAAAUUGUUUUAAACAUGUCAGUAAAAAAUGUAGUAUUGGCCAAAGUACGAGUGAACAGUUCUACUACUUACAGAUUGUAAUUCAGCCAUUGUUGAGAGGUAAAUGAAGAGUACAUCCAAUUGGUGACAGAUUUUCAUGUGAAUAUUCAAAAAUAUGGAUUUUCCUACCCUAGAUGUGUUUCCAUUAAACUGACCUGUUGCGGAAAAACUCUGUGUCUUAAGACGUAGUGCACAUAAAAAUAACAUUUGCGGUUAAAUGACAAUGUACCGAAGAAAUAAUACAAGUUAAAUGGGGUUAUGUAAAAAAAUAAAUAGCGUUAUAUUGCGACUGUGCCCACUCUGGUCUUGGCACGUGCUCUCUAGCCAACAGCUUGCAGAUACAGUGUGCGUAGGAUAGCCUAUAUGAUGAGAUUAUUAUGGACAAAAGAGCGAGAUUAUUUUAAUAUGUCAAAAGGCAGCCAAGUAUCGAUCAUCAUUUCUCUGGAUUAAGAUCCUCAACAUAUCAUCACGUGACUCGAAGUUUACUUCGAUACGAUAUGAUGAUUAUUUGCGGUUUCCAAUUUGCUUUUUCCAUCAGGACUGUCGUGAAAUCUUUUUUGCAGGACGAGUCACAAUGAGCAGCUGGCUAUCUUUUGGACUAGAUCAUGUGUUCAUGUCUCACUGUCACAAUCAUCAGAACUAUUUGCUCAUUCAAAUGUGAUCAAACAUGUAUCCUGUAUGUAUUCGGUGUCAAAGAACAUGUAUCCUGUUCCUGUGUCAGAUGAUGCCAAGCUUUGUUUGAUUAGAAAUGUUCCAGGUCCCGCUAAAGUUUCACCCUGAUAGAAUGCACCCAGUCCUUGUGCAACCUAGGUAGGCUUACUUGGUAACCAGGUGUUGUAAUGCUAGAUGUCAUUGAUUAAAGGACACACACACACUUUGUGUACCUACCAAAUGGCACCCUAUUCCCUAUAUAAUGCACUUUUUUGACGAGGGCCCGCCAGGGCUCUGUCAAAAGUAGUGCACUAUAUAAGAAAUAGGGUACCUUUUGGGAUGCACCUACUCAUUCAAGAAAAACCCUUGAAUGAGUAGGUCUGUCCAGACUUUUGACUGGUACUGUACAUAGUGACAUACACCCCUUUCUCCCCUCACGUUCUUCCUCACUCAUCCACUUUAUCUCUUCAACAUGUUGCUUGACCGCUAUUUAACGCAGAAAAUAUCCAUCCACAGAUACGCAAUGUCUGAGUGCGUGAGGGCUUCCGUGAAUGUAAGAGUGUGAGAGUCCUUCUGCGAGAUUAUGGACUUAAUUAGGUUUAAGGUGGUGUGUGUGUGCGUGUGUAAACACAGAUUGAACAGAACAAAAAAAACAGCAGGACUUAACUCUCAGACACACAGAGACACACCAACUGUACCCUUCAGAGAGCACAUAUUAACAUGUAUGUGCAUAUCAACAUGUGAUGUAUAUGCCCUAUUGUAUUGAAAACACACACACAAGCACAUACAUGCCUACAUGUCCACACUCCACACUAUAUUGUCUAAGAAGAAGGCAU
rnacentral:lncRNA from 1 species